ACAGAGAAGCAGAACAUCCUUCUUCAACACAUGCGCGAAAACAAAUUUGGAUUUUGAUCAAUAAAUAUGGAAAUAAACCUGGAGCCUCGUUUUCGUGUUAAAGCUUAUUUCCACAUUUAUUGGUCAAAAUAAAGAAUUUUUUCAUGCAGGUGUUGAAGAAGGAUGUUCUGCUUCUCUGU